GGUAACUACUGUGAUGCUAGGAGAUGCUGUAAUUAGCCCAAAAGUUCGAUAAAAAAGUGGUACCAAAAUGAAAAGCAAAGAAAAGAAAGGAAAGAGAAAACAACUCGCAACUAAGUUUUAUCAGAAGAAAAUAGAGGCCUGUGAAGUAAAAUCCUGAAUACUGUCCAAGCAGUUGAAGUGGAGAGGGGGAGAGAAACCGCUCCAGAGUGAAGCAGCAAUUUCCCACCACCUGGUGAUGUUCCUGAAGACAUGACACAAGAUAUCCGUAAUGCUGCCACGGCACCAAGGGACUUAAAGGGGCUGUACUAAAAAUACUGAAAAAACAGCAGGCUGGGAUUGCCUCCACACAGCUCUCACAGACUGUUCCCCAAUACGUGAUAUACCUACAGUACGCUUUUUGGCGGCCACAUGCACACGUGGUCUGACCGGAAAUCGAAAAAAAGAACAGAGAAGCUCAGAUUGCAACACACAGAUGAAGCGUGACUUCCUUCUCUGCUUAGGACGCCAUUAUUCCUUUACAAAGCAAAUGUGUCCUUCACAUAGCGAAUAUGUGUUUGUUGCUCUAUUAAUGUUGAGUACAGUCCCUAAUUGUGUUGUCUUUGGCAAACAUUACUACUACUAUUUUCCGUUUGAGUUUGU